GAGCUUCUUUCACCACACACUCCAGAUAACGCAGCUUCUUCAGAUCCUCAGUGUUGAUGGGUCUCUCUGACUCACCUGAUAUCAACAGGUAUAAACCUGACCUCUUACCUCCUGCAUUGGACUUGAACUGCAGCGCGUUCCCCAGGAACGGGUACGAGACUCCGAUCCCCUGGAUGGGUUUCAGCUCCUUCCAGCUGUGCAGGUAGUGGCUCAGCAGCUGAUAGGUCAGCCAGGUGAGCAGCAGGACGCAGACGGCUGCACCUGCGAAGCCCAGCGUGUACGCACCCACUACCACCCCCAUCCUCCUGCAGUGAAGCAGCGCGAGAACCUCAGCGCUGUUUUAUUAAGCCCCAGACGAGCCCACCUGAUCCGGGAUUGGUCAGGAUCGAGCCCUGCGUCUGACUGUGAUGCGCAACAGCACCCAGCUUGCGCAACAGGCUGGAUACCGUCGGCCUAUCUGUUUAAUCUUUUACAGAGUCUGGAGUUCCAUCUGCACUGCAUGUUAUAGUGUUUUCAUUCUUAUCAAUAACACUCCCUGAUCAUCUCAGGAAGAGGCUGUUAAUGAUUGAUUGGUUGUAUCGUCUGUGCUGGAAGCUGCAAAUAAAGUCAAAUGUGUGUGUU